CCUACGGGAGGCUGCAGUGGGGAAUAUUGCACAAUGGGCGCAAGCCUGAUGCAGCCAUGCCGCGUGUGUGAAGAAGGCCUUCGAGUUGUAAAGCACUUUCAGCGGGGAGGAAGGCGUUAAGGUUAAUAACCUUGUCGAUUGACGUUACCCGCAGAAGAAGCACCGGCUAACUCCGUGCCAGCAGCCGCGGUAAUACGGAGGGUGCAAGCGUUAAUCGGAAUUACUGGGCGUAAAGCGCACGCAGGCGGUCUGUCAAGUCGGAUGUGAAAUCCCCGGGCUCAACCUGGGAACUGCAUUCGAAACUGGCAGGCUAGAGUCUUGUAGAGGGGGGUAGAAUUCCAGGUGUAGCGGUGAAAUGCGUAGAGAUCUGGAGGAAUACCGGUGGCGAAGGCGGCCCCCUGGACAAAGACUGACGCUCAGGUGCGAAAGCGUGGGGAGCAAACAGGAUUAGAUACCCGGGUAGUC
rnacentral:rRNA from 1 species